GGUUGUAGUGUGCGGAAUGUGUGGUGUAGCGGUGAAAUGCUUAGAUAUCACACAGAACACCGAUUGCGAAGGCAGCACACUAAGUCAUUAUUGACGCUGAGGCACGAAAGUGUGGGGAUCAAACAGGAUUAGAUACCCUGGUAGUCCACACUGUAAACGAUGAUAACUCGCUGUCGGCGAUACACAGUCGGUGGCCAAGCGAAAGCAUUAAGUUAUCCACCUGGGGAGUACGACCGCAAGGUUGAAACUCAAAGGAAUUGACGGGGGCCCGCACAAGCGGAGGAACAUGUGGUUUAAUUCGAUGAUACGCGAGGAACCUUACCCGGGCUCGAACGGUGCAUGAAUAUACGAGAGAUUGUAUAGUCCUUCGGGACAUGUAUCGAGGUGCUGCAUGGUUGUCGUCAGCUCGUGCCGUGAGGUGUCGGCUUAAGUGCCAUAACGAGCGCAACCCUUGUCAUUAGUUGCCAUCAGGUCAAGCUGGGGACUUUAAUGAGACUGCCACCGUAAGGUGUGAGGAAGGGGGGGAUGACGUCAAAUCAGCACGGCCCUUAUGUCCGGGGCGACACACGUGUUACAAUGGGAGGUACAGAGGGCAGCUAUCCGGUGACGGAAUGCUAAUCUCCAAAACCUUUCUCAGUUCGGAUUGGAGUCUGCAACUCGACUCCAUGAAGGUGGAUUCGCUAGUAAUCGCGCAUCAGCCAUGGCGCGGUGAAUACGUUCCCGGGCCUUGUACACACCGCCCGUCAAGCCAUGGAAGCUUGGGGUGCCUGAAGUUCGUGACCGCAAGGAGCGACCUAAGGCAAAACAGGUAACUGGGGCUAAGUCGUAACAAGGUAACCGUA
rnacentral:rRNA from 1 species